GACGAACGCUGGCGGCGUGCUUAACACAUGCAAGUCGAACGGUAAGGCCUUUCGGUGUACACGAGUGGCGGUCGCGUGCGUGACACGUGCGUGUUCUGCCCUGCACUUCGGGAUAAGGCCGGGAAACUGAGUCUAAUACUGGAUCGGACUGCGCGUUGCAUGCCGUUUGGUGGAAAUAUUUAUCGGUGCUGGAUGGGCCCGCGGCCUAUCAGCUUGUUGGUGUGGUAAUGGCCUACCAAGGCGACGACGGGUAGCCGGCCUGAGAGGGCGACCGGCCACACUGGGACUGAGACACGGCCCAGACUCCUACGGGAGGCAGCAGUGGGGAAUAUUGCACAAUGGGCGCAAGCCUGAUGCAGCGACGCCGCGUGCGGGAUGACGGCCUUCGGGUUGUAAACCUCUUUCAGCUGGGACGAAGCGUGAGUGACGGUACCUGCAGAAGAAGCACCGGCCAACUACGUG
rnacentral:rRNA from 1 species